UUUCGGUUCGGAUUCGGUACUACAUUUUCGGAUCGGGUUCGGUUCGGUUCUUCGGAUUCGGAUUUUUUGCCCAGCCAUAGUAUUUUACAUGGCAGUGUGAGUAGGGGUAGAAGAGUCCAAAAACAUCACACUCAUUCCGCGAACAGUUCAAUUUGGCAGAUAACUAAAUAUGUCAAACUUAUUUGGUGUAGCUCCUAAUUUCUCUAAUUUUAUUUUAAUCUCCCUUCAUCACCUUUUGCCGAUUGGUGAUUUUAUAUGUUAAUCUUGCUUAUUCAAACUCAUUGAUUCUUCUCCUCAGGUUUCAGUUCCGUACAAUUUCUAGACUUUGAUCAUCUUCCACCUUCAUUACCGCGACGCGAAGGAGAGAAAGAAAAAUCAAAGGGUGGGCGAAUAGGAUACUGACACAUAAGGUUCCUAACCAAUCCUAAACCCCUCCCCCCCCAAUCAAGACCCGGUUCUCUUGUAUUUAGGUAUUUUGAUUUUUUUUUUUUUUUGCUUUUCAUUAAGAACCCCUUGUUAGGAUCACCGAUGGAAAUGGUCUAAGAAUCGUUUUUUUUAGCCGAAAAGUGUAAAACAAAAAAAAUAUAUAUAUAUAUCAAAUCAUAAGUUAAAAACCCCGGCUAAGAGAUCCGGGGUUAAUCA